AUUUCAUAGGUUUGAGACGUCAAGGACACAGACCCAUACGCCCGUGACCCUUGGAAGGACUUUCGGAUAGUAUGAGGGAAGAAUAAAAAGCCCGAUUCAAGAUAAGUUAGAUGAGUUUAGUUUGCUAAAAUAUAUCCCUUCACAACUGCAUUUUGUCUGCUAAAAUUUAAACCAGAUGAUGUGUUUUUCUCUUAACCCUUGCCCAAUUCUCCAGUGGGAGAACUAAUAUUUUUACUGAUGGAGCCCAGCAGUUUGCCAAAGACAUCAGCAAAGAACUUGAAGAUGGAAUGGGGCAGGCCGAACCUCUUACUAAGAAUACCCAAAAGGCGCUAAGACGACACUGCAGAAGGUAUUUCAUCGGUAAAUCCGCAAGCAUAAAUGAACUGACAGGCGCAGAAGGCGCUCAUUGCUGACUGAGGCAUUUUGGUCUGACCCUGAGAUAGCAGGGUCAGCGAGGUCCUGAGCUCCGAUGAGACCGGAGCCAUGAUUGUAAAAGCGUCUGGAUGGAAGAACCCAUUGCUAACAUUUGCUCCCUCAUCCCGAACACCCGCUUCCUAUGGACCAGAAUAGAUAACUAGGUGAAUCUUAAAGGUAAAGUCCCCAGCCGGGAAGAACUGUUACAUCCGGGUUGAAAGUUAACUCUCCUGUGACCGUGAUUGGAGCUGUGAGAAUGGAAUGUAACCACCCAAUGCAGUCAAGGCUGUGAAACCCUACAAAAGGAGGGGCUGUAACCCAGUGCGUUGUUGGCUUAUUGCGAUCGACCCUCAUCGAUGAGUACAUUUGCUGUUUUACCUCCACUCUGCUGCCUCUCUGUGUCACUUACUGAUCCCUUCCGGAACAUUUGGUGCGUUGGCCGGGAAGGAAGGGACUAAGUGACACAGCCCGAGUCGGGCCUCCACCAGAGUCCCGAUGCAGGCAGCGGCUGUCCGCCUCCUCGGAGGGGAAGAGGCGCCCCGGGAUUUCCGGGGUUCCCUUUCCAGGACGCGGAGGCCGGCUCGCCAGCAGCGGAUCCUGAAACCCGGAGCAGAGAUGGCAGAAGGAAGGCGAGAGAGCGGAGUCGUCUGAAUAGCCCUCCCGGCGUUAUGGAGCUUGUGUGGGUCGGUCCUGCGAGUCUGUGGCCACGCUUAGAAAGGACAAAACGGAGACUCUUGCGACAAGAAACUCUCCAGCGUCUGAGCAGGCCUGAAAUAGCUCGGAAGCUCACAGCCAGGCUGACGAGUGAAUGAGGCCGUCUUCUGAACAGCGCCCGACCAUCUGUCUGGCAUCACCGGACAAGGGAAUAUCCAGUGGUCAUGGGGAACGCAAAUACUAAACCAACUGCUCUUAAGCGCAUGAUUCAGAAUUUUGAUAAAGGUUUUGUGAGGACUAUGGAAUAAAACUGCAACCAAAGAUGCUUAAGAAAAUUUGUGAGUUGUCGUGGCCUCAACUAAGCCAGACUUGGUCCCC
rnacentral:lncRNA from 1 species